rnacentral:rRNA from 1 species
GGCGAAUGGGUGAGUAACACGUGAGUAACCUGCCCUUGACUUUGGGAUAACUUCAGGAAACUGGGGCUAAUACCGGAUAGGAGCUCCUGCUGCAUGGUGGGGGUUGGAAAGUUUCGGCGGUUGGGGAUGGACUCGCGGCUUAUCAGCUUGUUGGUGGGGUAGUGGCUUACCAAGGCUUUGACGGGUAGCCGGCCUGAGAGGGUGACCGGCCACAUUGGGACUGAGAUACGGCCCAG